CUCCGGAGGCUCGCAGACCACAGGGAUUCCGUCCGCAGUGACAGCCUUAACAUUUGCCAGAGCCCUGGACGCCACUGCAGAAAUGGCAUUGCCCACCCGGAAAGUGAGAAGGUUGCAUAAAGAGGCAAAAUGAUGGGUUUGGGAGACACGUUGUCAAGGAGAGAGAGAAACAGCUGAAUUGAGACCAGCUCUAAGAAUCAACUGAGCAUUCUCCGGACCAGUGAAAGAGGACGGCACAAGGCUACCCCGGUACAGGCGUUAGGAACCCUCAGUGCAAACACAGGUCAAAACGGCAACGGCACCACCUGCCUCAAAAUGUGAGCAGCAAGCACAGAACAGGCUUCUGGUGUGAAAGGAGUGCCUACGGAACGAGUCUUCAAAACGUCAGCACCAGCAGAGGUGGAUCCGUGUGGAACAAAUGCACACCAGCUCUGGUCUUUCUCCAGGACACGUCUGUGUUCCCAGAGACCCGCAUCUCCCGCAUCUUGACUGAGGAGAACACUUUUGGUUUGGGGAGCCCCAGGAUGCUAACAGCAGUGGGGAAGCCUGAUGCGGCGUGUCCGCAGCUACAGAAAGGCCAGAGCAGCCUGCGGAGGACAGGGGUCUGCAGGAGGGUGG
ensembl:lncRNA